GGCUGUCGUCAGCUCGUGCCGUGAGGUGUUCGGGUUAAGUCCGCACGAGCGCAACCCCUAUCCUCUGUUGGUCCGCAAGGAUCUCUCUGAGGAAACUGCCAGCGAUGAGCUGGAGGAAGGUGGGGAUGACGUCAAGUCAUCAUGGCCCUUACGUCCAGGGCGACACACGUGCUACAAUGGCAGCUACAGAGGGUCGCAAUACCGCGAGGUGGAGCCAAUCCCUAAAAGCUGUCUCAGUUGGGAUCGGAGUCUGCAACUCGACUCCGUGAACGCGGAAUCGCUAGUAAUCGUGGAUCAGCCAUGCCACGGUGAAUACGUUCCCGGGCCUU
rnacentral:rRNA from 1 species